UCUGAGUUAAAUUCUUGUUUGUGCCUCAGU
rnacentral:piRNA from 1 species